rnacentral:rRNA from 1 species
CCUACGGGCGGCAGCAGUGGGGAAUAUUGGGCAAUGGGCGCAAGCCUGACCCAGCAACGCCGCGUGAAGGAAGAAGGCUUUCGGGUUGUAAACUUCUUUUCUCAGGGACGAAACAAGUGACGGUACCGGAGGAAUAAGCCACGGCGAACUACGGGCCAGCAGUCGCGGUAAUACGUAGGUGGCAAGCGGUCUCCGGAUUUACUGGGUGUAAAGGGCGUGUAGGCGGGGACGCAAGUCAGAUGUGAAAACCACGGGCUCAACCGGUGGACUGCAUUUGAAACUGUGUGUCUUGAGUGCUGGAGAGGCAGACGGAAUUCGUAGUGUAGCGGUGAAAUGCGUAGAUAUUAGGAGGAACACCGGUGGCGAAGGCGGUCUACUGGACAGCAACUGACGCUGAGGCGCGAAAGCGUGGGGAGCAAACAGGAUUAGAUACCCCUGUAGUC